AGUACGGUGUACAUUUUAGGACAUCGUCAGGUCUCAGAACACGAGCUGUCAGACAGAGAGAAAAUCUUCCUGCAGGUGGCGCUGUUGUCAUGUCCCACCAAUUACUGUAGUGACAGCUGCAGUCACGGAGAAACUUGCGUAUCUCUGUUCGGGAAUAGCAGAUAGAGCGUAGGCUCUGAGAGGAGGGCCAGUGUUUACGCUUCGAAAACACGACCGAGUGUUUUAACCUGACAUCCUGAGUUGUUCUUCAGUAAACUGGACUACCCGACAGAAGGACCCGAGGCCCCGCUGCACUGUUUCGGAGCUGCCCUCAGAUUCAGACCUCAACACCACCCAGUGACAGCAGACAGAUCAUCCAACAUGUUCACAUGUUAACUGCAAAAUGAACUGAUGAAAACAGUACAAAGGUUAGAGUACCACAUGUGCUGUAGUGAAAGCUGCAGCUGUUUUAUUGAUAAAGUUAAAGACAAAAAAACAAAAGGAUUAAUCACUCUUGUAACUGUGUCACUAUAUAUCAGCAUUAACAGGACCUCAGUUUGUAUCUCAGACCUGCACAGCUUCCGUUUUAAACACUUGAUGUACUCAGCUGCAUGAAGAGCAUAUGAGAUUUUGUCUAACACAAUUAAAUAAAACCUGAUGAAGGUCAAAGGUC